rnacentral:lncRNA from 1 species
AUCCGGCUUGGGAGGCAGCGCGGGACAGGGUCCCGGCGCUCUCGGGUGGGGACCCCUCUUCUGAGCUGCAGGAAGUUGAAACCGGUUGGGACGUGGCCAGGCUUCGGAAUAGUUUUCCUAACGCUGCCCCCUCCUCCAAAAUAGUUUUCCUAACCCCCACCCCGACCAUGGAAAGAGGGAAGCCAAGGACGGUAUCCCUGCUCCCAUUUGACAGACGGGAAUCCUGAAGCCCAGAGAGGAGUGGUAACCUGCUCAAGGUCACACAGAAUGAAUGCCAGGGCCAGGAACUCAGGGUUCCUAGCUUGAAGGCCUGCGCGGCCUGAGUCUGAAGGCUUCCCAGGAGGUCCAGGGGCCGGCCCUGGCCUUGCGCUGGGGACAGAUCUGUGGGGCCAGGUCCCCCAGCUGCUGGGGCCGAGACAUGGGGGCUGUGGCCUGCGGUGUGGACUCGCAUCAUUUCCUCUUUCUGGAAAGAAGGGAGGUGAAGCGCUGGAGGAAGGAAGUGGUCGUACCUCUGCUGACGUCUGACGCCCUUUGAGAUGUGCAGGAUGAAGAUAGGGGCUGCUUCCCUGAGAUUUAACGCUAAAAAUAAAAAGCAAAACAUACCCGGUGGCUUC